rnacentral:rRNA from 1 species
CCUACGGGAGGCAGCAGUGGGGAAUAUUGCGCAAUGGGCGAAAGCCUGACGCAGCGACGCCGCGUGAGGGAUGAAGGUCUUCGGAUCGUAAGCCUCUGUCAGCAGGGGAGCACGGUCACUGUGCUAAUCAGCAGUGAAUUGACGGUACCUGCAAAGAAAGCACCGGCUAACUCCGUGCCAGCAGCCGCGGUAAUGCGGAGGGUGGGAGCGGUAAUCGGAAUUACUGGGCGUAAAGCGCUCGUAGGCGGUAUGUCAAGUCAAGGGGGAAAUCCCCGCGCGCAACGUGGGAACUGCCGUUGAAACUGGGAACCUGGAGUGUGGGAGAGGAUAGUGGAAUGCCAGGUGUAGGAGUGAAAUCCGUAGAUAUCGGGAGGAACAUCAGUGGCGAAGGCGACUAUCUGGCACAUAACUGACGCUGAGGAGCGAAAGCGUGGGUAGCAAACAGGAUUAGAUACCCGAGUAGUC